GACGCUGGCGGCGUGCUUAACACAUGCAAGUCGAACGGAAAGGCCCUGCUUCUGUGGGGUGCUCGAGUGGCGAACGGGUGAGUAACACGUGAGUAACCUGCCCUUGACUUUGGGAUAACUUCAGGAAACUGGGGCUAAUACCGGAUAGGAGCUCCUGCUGCAUGGUGGGGGUUGGAAAGUUUCGGCGGUUGGGGAUGGACUCGCGGCUUAUCAGCUUGUUGGUGGGGUAGUGGCUUACCAAGGCUUUGACGGGUAGCCGGCCUGAGAGGGUGACCGGCCACAUUGGGACUGAGAUACGGCCCAGACUCCUACGGGAGGCAGCAGUGGGGAAUAUUGCACAAUGGGCGGAAGCCUGAUGCAGCAACGCCGCGUGCGGGAUGACGGCCUUCGGGUUGUAAACCGCUUUCGCCUGUGACGAAGCGUGAGUGACGGUAAUGGGUAAAGAAGCACCGGCUAACUACGUG
rnacentral:rRNA from 1 species